CCUACGGGUGGCAGCAGUGGGGAAUAUUGCACAAUGGGCGCAAGCCUGAUGCAGCCAUGCCGCGUGUGUGAAGAAGGCCUUCGGGUUGUAAAGCACUUUCAGCGGGGAGGAAGGCGGUGAGGUUAAUAACCUCAUCGAUUGACGUUACCCGCAGAAGAAGCACCGGCUAACUCCGUGCCAGCAGCCGCGGUAAUACGGAGGGUGCAAGCGUUAAUCGGAAUUACUGGGCGUAAAGCGUACGCAGGCGGUCUGUCAAGUCGGAUGUGAAAUCCCCGGGCUCAACCUGGGAACUGCAUUCGAAACUGGCAGGCUAGAGUCUUGUAGAGGGGGGUAGAAUUCCAGGUGUAGCGGUGAAAUGCGUAGAGAUCUGGAGGAAUACCGGUGGCGAAGGCGGCCCCCUGGACAAAGACUGACGCUCAGGUGCGAAAGCGUGGGGAGCAAACAGGAUUAGAUACCCCAGUAGUC
rnacentral:rRNA from 1 species